rnacentral:rRNA from 1 species
GACGAACGCGGCGGCGUGCUUAACACAUGCAAGUCGAACGCUGAAGCCUGGCUUUUGUUGGGUGGAUGAGUGGCGAACGGGUGAGUAACACGUGAGUAACCUGCCCCCUUCUUUGGGAUAACGCCCGGAAACGGGUGCUAAUACUGGAUAUUCACUGGUCUUCGCAUGGGGGUUGGUGGAAAGGGUUUUCUGGUGGGGGAUGGGCUCGCGGCCUAUCAGCUUGUUGGUGGGGUGAUGGCCUACCAAGGCUUUGACGGGUAGCCGGCCUGAGAGGGUGACCGGUCACAUUGGGACUGAGAUACGGCCCAGACUCCUACGGGAGGCAGCAGUGGGGAAUAUUGCACAAUGGGCGCAAGCCUGAUGCAGCGACGCCGCGUGAGGGAUGGAGGCCUUCGGGUUGUGAACCUCUUUCGCUCAUGGUCAAGCCGCAACUGUGGGUUGUGGUGAGGGUAGUGG